rnacentral:lncRNA from 1 species
UUUUAAGUCAUUUGGAACCUUUUUCGUCUAUAUUUUACUGCCAACAGUUUGGAGGGUUGUUUGCUGCAACUUCGGAAAACUGAGUAAAAUUUUCACUUAUUUGUAAAGCUAAGUGCAACUUAUUCUAUCCAAAGUAUUUUUGUGGGGAAUGUUUGUUUGAAGGUGGGUGAGGUCAGAUGUAAAUAUAAGUUUUAAUGUGCUUGGAGCAACUGUCAUUGUGCUAAAUCUGCUAUGAGAGAGUAAUGAAUCUCUCUUCCAAACCUCUCUCUCUCCAGCAUCACCAAGCCUCAUAACCUUGUUUGCAAUAAGGGGUAAAUAUUGAGCUAUCUUACAGGGUUGUUGUAAGGUAACAAAUGCAACCUGAAAGUGCAGUAAAAUAAUGACUGCUAGCCUUGCCUCCAUUUUUUCUCCUUUUCCAAUAGUCAGUCAACAUUUGUGUGUUUACAGAGCAAGCUCCAUUUUCCUUCAGUGUUUUAUGGUGGCAGGGUCGCCCACUUCGAUUCCCACCCCAAAUAUCAUUACAUUUUUUGUUAACUUCCGGAGCAUGCCAUUACUGCCUUGUUUGUUCAUUUGGUUCCAAUCCUGUCAGCGCUCCUCACCUAAGUUCACUAUUGUGCAUAAGAACACCCAAAAGCACUACUUAAGUGCAAAGUAUUAUAAACGGGUAAGAGCAAAGGUUUAGAGUAAUGAAAACAUUAUCUCACUGCAACUCUCUCCUGCCUCACAGUAAUGUCAGUGAAAUGAACACUGUGAUCCUAUAUAUGUCUGCUCAUAAAUAGAGUUCUAGAUGUACUUCAUGUACAGUGGUACCUCGGGGUAAGAACUUAAUUCGUUCUGGAGGUCCAUUCUUAACCUGAAGCACCACUCUAGCUAAUGGGGCCUCCCGCUGCCGCCGCACCGCCAGAGCAUGAUUUCUGUUCUUAACCUGAAGCAAAGUUCUUAACCCAAGGUACUAUUUCUGGGUUAGUGGAGUCUAACCUGAAGCGUAUGUAACCCGAGGUACCACUGUACAACCUAGUUAAACUAUGUGACUUGCUCGCAUAAGGGAGCAGCCAUCUUUGAUGGCUUUAAAAUAGGAUUGGACAAAUUCAUGGAGGAGCAGACUAUUGAUGACUACCAUCCAUGAUGGUUCUUGCUCUGCCUCCAUGGUCAGAGGCAAAACAGUUCCUGGAAACCACAGAGAGGGAAAGUGAUAUUGCACUCGGGACUUGUUUGUGGCGUUUUUUGUGAAAUGCCGUGAGGCAUUUUUUGUGAAAUGCCCCGAGAUCUUCAGUGUGGUGUAGUGGUUAAGAGUGGUGGACUCGUAAUCUGGGGAACUGGGUUCGAUUCCCUGUUCCUCCACAUGCAGCUGCUGGGUGACCUUGGGCCAGUCACACUUCUUUGAAGUCUCUCAGCCCCACUCACCUCACAGAGUGUUUGUUGUGGGGGAGGAAGGGAAAGGAGAAUGUUAGCCGCUUUGAGACUCCUUCGGGUAGUGAUAAAGUGGGAUAUCAAAUCCAAACUCCUCCUCCUAUACAAAUUUAAUAAAUCUUCAUUAUCAUCCUCAUCUGGUUGGCCACAGUGAGGAUAGGAUUUCAAAUGGCCUCUGAUUUCAAAUGGCCUCCCUCCCAGUUUAAGCAGCAUUACCCACACCCCCAAACUUGAAGCCGAUACCACGGUUUAUGUCUGGUGCAUCAGGGAUGGCAUUUUACUUGCCAAGCAAUAGGAGUUCUGUAUGCUUCAUAACAGUCACUGAAUUAGCACUUCUAGCCCAUAGAAAAGCUACUGAUACUCUAGAUCAAAGCGCAUGCUGUGAACAUCCUGGGGUCACAUUUGGGCAACAAUUUUGUUGACAAAGGCAACAGAGGAAGCGGGAAUUCUGUUAACUAGUCCGCAACCUAGUCUUGGAACCCCUGCUGAGAAUAAUAUUACCAUAUACAGAAUGGCAUUUAUUUCUAAUGCCUCCUCUUCUGAGCUCUGUACCAUAUGCUGCUUUUUUUGCAGCAGCAGCAAUAAUAAUGAUAAUAAUAAUAAUAAUAAUAAAAAGAAUGAUGAUAAUAAUAAUAAAUUAAAAAGAAAAUACCCCAGCGGUCUCCGCGUUCAGUGCAAAUCCUACAAGGUUUUCCUGAACAAAUAGCAGAUAGUGACCUUUUGGCCUUUGUUUUGCAUGAGAAUUAACAUCAGUAUUCAGUAGUUACUACUGUGACUAGGGACUACUGCAAAUGCCAGAUUCUGAUUUAAAACUCGGGUGUGUGUGUGUUUUUUAAGAACCCAGAAGAAAAGGGGGUCUUUGAAGCUCAUCUGCAUUACAGAUCAGGCCUCUCUGAGAAAAUCAACCAUCCAUAAUUCAUUACAUGUUUCCUGCAGGGCUUGGAGACAGCAGCGAUCCUAGCAACAGCAGAGUCAUAGCAACAGCUGCAAAGCCGGCCAAUCCAGCGUCAUCCUUCCUUAUGCAACGUAACCAAUCAGAAUGGGGAGCACCAGGCUGAAAUGUUGUCAGCCAACUGGUUAUUCUGUCAUAAGCCUAGUUUUUAAACUAAUGUGUGCUAUUGGAAUUUUCACUAGCAUGCUGAAGGGGAAAAGGUCUGAAGCCAUUUUUUUGCUGAAACGUAGAAUGAAAUGAAAUGCAAAAUUGUGGACUUGAAAAAAUUCUCCAUUCCUCCAAAUUUUUAGCCCAGUGCAUCAAUUAAGUAUAUUUAGACUACUCCAGUGUACUAUCACUUUCAUAUGGAGCUCAUCACAAUAUCACUGGUCAAAAUGGUUUUCAUUAUGAUAAAACAGCACAUUUUACAGACUUUUAGGCUGCAAUCCUAGAUCCGUUUACCUGGCAGUAAGCCCUAUUUAACUCUGUGGGACAUAAUUUUGAGGAGAUAUAUUUAGGAUUGCAUUGCCAAACUUUCACAUUUAUUCCUCCAUCGCUGCUUCCUGAAUGAUUUUCCAUAUUUUAUAAUGUGUUUCUGCUUAGCCACAAAACUACAGAAAUAAUCAUUUGGGGUGGGGUGGAAAUACAAAAGGUGCCAUACGUUGCUUAAGAGCUUGGUUAAUUGUGACUAGUUGUUCCCCUCCAUUGUGAUGUCAAAACAGCAAUGCUUUCGCAAUCUAAAACAUAAC